rnacentral:rRNA from 1 species
AUGAACGCUAGCGGCAGGCCUAAUACAUGCAAGUCGAACGAGAUUAGAGAGCUUGCUCUCUAUGAAAGUGGCGCACGGGUGCGUAACGCGUAUGCAAUCUACCUUAAUCAGGGGGAUAGCCCGGAGAAAUCCGGAUUAAUACCGCAUAACGUUAUUUUAUGGCAUCAUAGAAUAACCAAACAUUUAUGGGAUUAAGAUGAGCAUGCGUGACAUUAGUUAGUUGGUGAGGUAACGGCUCACCAAGACUACGAUGUCUAGGGGAUCUGAGAGGAUGACCCCCCACACUGGUACUGAGACACGGACCAGACUCCUACGGGAGGCAGCAGUAAGGAAUAUUGGUCAAUGGGCGCAAGCCUGAACCAGCCAUGCCGCGUGCAGGAAGACGGCCCUACGGGUUGUAAACUGCUUUUAUUCGGGAAUAAACCCUUCUACGUGUAGGAGGCUGAAUGUACCGAAGGAAUAAGGAUCGGCUAACUCCGU